UACGGGGGUGCGAGCGUUGUCCGGAAUCACUGGGCGUAAAGGGCGCGUAGGUGGUUUGAUAAGGGUGUGGUGAAAGUCCGGGGCUCAACCCCGGAUCUGCCGUGCCGACUGUCAAACUCGAGGACUGUAGAGGCAGACGGAAUUCCGGGUGUAGCGGUGAAAUGCGCAGAUAUCAGGAAGAACACCCGUGGCGAAAGCGGCUCUCUGGAACGGUACUGACGCUGAGACGCGAAAGCGUGGGGAGCGAACAGG
rnacentral:rRNA from 1 species